AGAGUUUGAUCCUGGCUCAGAACGAACGCUGGCGGCGUGCCUAACACAUGCAAGUCGUACGAGAAAAUCCGCUUCGGCGGGUGAGUAGAGUGGCGCACGGGUGAGUAACGCGUGGAUAAUCUGCCUUUAAGCUGGGAAUAACUCACCGAAAGGUGGGCUAAUACCCGAUAAUGCUAUGGGACUUCGGUUUUAUAGCCAAAGAGAGCCUCUACAUAUAAGCCUUCACUUAAGGAUGAGUCCGCGUACCAUUAGCUAGUUGGUAGGGUAAUGGCCUACCAAGGCGACGAUGGUUAGCUGGUCUGAGAGGAUGAUCAGCCACACUGGAACUGAGACACGGUCCAGACUCCUACGGGAGGCAGCAGUGAGGAAUAUUGCGCAAUGGGGGCAACCCUGACGCAGCAACGCCGCGUGAGUGAGGAAGGUCUUCGGAUCGUAAAGCUCUGUCGGGUGGGAAGAAGUGUGCAUAGGUUAAUAGCUUGUGCACUUGACGGUACCGCCAAAGGAAGCACCGGCUAACUCCGUGCCAGCAGCCGCGGUAAUACGGGGGGUGCGAGCGUUGUUCGGAAUCAUUGGGCGUAAAGAGCGUGUAGGCGGCUAGGCAAGUCAGAUGUGAAAUCCCUGGGCUUAACCCAGGAAGUGCAUUUGAAACUGCUUAGCUUGAGUAAGGAAGAGGGAAGUGGAAUUCCUGGUGUAGAGGUGAAAUUCGUAGAUAUCAGGAGGAACACCGGUGGCGAAGGCGACUUCCUGGUCCUAUACUGACGCUGAGACGCGAGAGCGUGGGGAGCAAACAGGAUUAGAUACCCUGGUAGUCCACGCCGUAAACGAU
rnacentral:rRNA from 1 species